rnacentral:lncRNA from 1 species
CAGAAGAUACCAAACUCGUGCAGAAAAAAACAAAAUAUGCAUCUCAUGAAACAAGUAUACAUAUGACAGCAAUUCAGAUGAAUUUGUGAGUUUGACAAAUCACAGAACAAUUUCAAAUCCAAACACCAAUUAAAUUUGGCUGUAGGAUGCACAGGGAUGUCAUUUUCAUCGUUCAAGCUGAACACAGACUUCCCGAGACGAAAAUCUACACAUACCACACAAGUUCAAUUAUAGCUGCCAUUCAGCAAGGGAUCUGUACAAAUCCGCACCCCAUUCAUUCUAUGCUACUCAUGUCCGGCUUUCUUUUGAUAUAGAAAAACGCACCAAAUCCUUCGAAAGAUCACUUCUGAUAGCCAGGAGGAGGAUAACCGGAUGCAGGAUAACCAGCAGGCGGAUAGGCAGGAGCUGGAUAACCUUGUUGAGGAAGUGGUUGACCAUAAGCUUGUGGAGGAGGUGGAUGACCAUAAGAUUGUUGAGGAGGUGGUUGACCAUAAGCUGCCCCAUACGCUGGAGGAGGAUAUCCAACAGUCGGUGGGUAAGGCUGAUCUAGCCGUGACAUGUGCUGCACCGGCGGCACCGCCAUUGGUUGAGGACCAAACUUGCCAUCUCUCUUGUCCAUUUCAACCUUAUGUUGUGUCUGCAAUGCUCAUCAACCAUGUUAACCUCAGAUGUUAACUAUUAACUAGGAAACAGUUAGCUACUUUCUGCAUAAAGCUUACAAGCUCCAGCUAGUUGUACCUCCUCUCUUUUUUUUUUCUUUUUCUUUUAUUGUGAAUAACCUCGGCUUUUGACUUCAUAUUAUCAUUUUGUUUUUACCACAUCAACCAUUGUAAAUUUUUUGUUCAUAUCUAUAUGAGAAGCAUUUCAUGUUUGAUAUAUUAAUUUAAGUUUCUUGCUUAC